UCCUAGUCCCUGAGACCCUAACUUGUGAGGAUUUUUUAGCAACAAUCACAAGUUAGGCUCUUGGGACCUAGG
rnacentral:pre_miRNA from 2 species